rnacentral:rRNA from 1 species
AGCGGUAAGGCCCUUCGGGGUACACGAGCGGCGAACGGGUGAGUAACACGUGAGCAACCUGCCCCUGACUCUGGGAUAAGCGGUGGAAACGCCGUCUAAUACCGGAUACGACCCGCCACCUCAUGGUGGAGGGUGGAAAGUUUUUCGGUCAGGGAUGGGCUCGCGGCCUAUCAGCUUGUUGGUGGGGUAACGGCCUACCAAGGCGAUUACGGGUAGCCGGCCUGAGAGGGCGACCGGCCACACUGGGACUGAGACACGGCCCAGACUCCUGCGGGAGGCAGCAGUGGGGAAUAUUGCGCAAUGGGCGAAAGCCUGACGCAGCGACGCCGCGUGGGGGAUGACGGCCUUCGGGUUGUAAACCUCUUUUACCACCAACGCAGGCUUCCAGUUCUCUGGAGGUUGACGGUAGGUGGGGAAUAAGGACCGGCUAACUACGUGCCAGCAGCCGCGGUAAUACGUAGGGUCCGAGCGUUGUCCGGAAUUAUUGGGCGUAAAGAGCUCGUAGGCGGCGUGUCGCGUCUGCUGUGAAAGACCGGGGCUUAACUCCGGUUCUGCAGUGGAUACGGGCAUGCUAGAGGUAGGUAGGGGAGACUGGAAUUCCUGGUGUAGCGGUGAAAUGCGCAGAUAUCAGGAGGAACACCGGUGGCGAAGGCGGGUCUCUGGGCCUUACCUGACGCUGAGGAGCGAAAGCAUGGGGAGCGAACAGGAUUAGAUACCCUGGUAGUCCAUGCCGUAAACGUUGGGCGCUAGGUGUGGGGACUUUCCACGGUUUCCGCGCCGUAGCUAACGCAUUAAGCGC